CCUACGGGCGGCAGCAGUGAGGAAUAUUGGUCAAUGGACGAGAGUCUGAACCAGCCAAGUAGCGUGAAGGAUGACUGCCCUAUGGGUUGUAAACUUCUUUUAUAUGGGAAUAAAAUGUUCCACGUGUGGGAUUUUGUAUGUACCAUAUGAAUAAGGAUCGGCUAACUCCGUGCCAGCAGCCGCGGUAAUACGGAGGAUCCGAGCGUUAUCCGGAUUUAUUGGGUUUAAAGGGAGCGUAGGUGGAUUGUUAAGUCAGUUGGGAAAGUUUGCGGCUCAACCGUAAAAUUGCAGUUGAAACUGGCAGUCUUGAGUACAGUAGAGGUGGGCGGAAUUCGUGGUGUAGCGGUGAAAUGCAUAGAUAUCACGAAGAACUCCGAUUGCGAAGGCAGCUCACUGGACGGCAACUGACACUGAGGCUCGAAAGUGUGGGUAUCAAACAGGAUUAGAUACCCUAGUAGUC
rnacentral:rRNA from 1 species